UACAGUCAUAUCACGUUGAAACACCAGUUCCCGUACGAUCAGCGAAGUUAAGCAAUGUCGAAUCUGGUCGCUACUUAGGUGGGUGACUGAUUGGGAAUACCGAGCGCUGUAAG